AACGAACGCUGGCGGCAGGCUUAACACAUGCAAGUCGAGCGCCCCGCAAGGGGAGCGGCAGACGGGUGAGUAACGCGUGGGAAUCUACCCAUCUCUACGGAAUAACGCAUGGAAACGUGUGCUAAUACCGUAUACGUCCUUCGGGAGAAAGAUUUAUCGGAGAUGGAUGAGCCCGCGUUGGAUUAGCUAGUUGGUGGGGUAAAGGCCUACCAAGGCGACGAUCCAUAGCUGGUCUGAGAGGAUGAUCAGCCACACUGGGACUGAGACACGGCCCAGACUCCUACGGGAGGCAGCAGUGGGGAAUAUUGGGCAAUGGGCGCAAGCCUGAUCCAGCCAUGCCGCGUGAGUGAUGAAGGCCCUAGGGUUGUAAAGCUCUUUCACCGGCGAAGAUAAUGACGGUAACCGGAGAAGAAGCCCCGGCUAACUUCGUGCCAGCCGCCGCCGUAAAAC
rnacentral:rRNA from 1 species